rnacentral:rRNA from 1 species
UUAUUUGAGAGUUUGAUCCUGGCUCAGGAUGAACGCUGGCGGCGUGCCUAACACAUGCAAGUUGAGCGAUUUACUUCGGUAAAGAGCGGCGGACGGGUGAGUAACGCGUGGGUAACCUACCCUGUACACACGGAUAACAUACCGAAAGGUAUGCUAAUACGGGAUAAUAUAUUUGAGAGGCAUCUCUUGAAUAUCAAAGGUGAGCCAGUACAGGAUGGACCCGCGUCUGAUUAGCUAGUUGGUAAGGUAACGGCUUACCAAGGCGACGAUCAGUAGCCGACCUGAGAGGGUGAUCGGCCACAUUGGAACUGAGACACGGUCCAAACUCCUACGGGAGGCAGCAGUGGGGAAUAUUGCACAAUGGGCGAAAGCCUG